UUCACCAAGGAGUCCUUCUUUUGUGGGUUGUAAAUUAUUUCUACUGACAGGGGAGAGAAGAAAAACAAAAGAAAAGAAAAACAAAGCAAAACAAAUGAACAAACAAACAAAAAAGAUUUAUACUUUACUAUCCUCGUGGGUGUGCAUUUUAAUAUUAUCUUGCUUUACUAGAAUUGUAAUUUUGGGGUUGAACUUGUGUGUCGUGUGAUUUAUUUGAUAGCUGACACUCCAAAACCAGUGAAACUGCCCAGUUUAUUUUUGUUGGAAUACAGUGCACUUACUUCAUUUUAUUUCUGCUGAUUUUACAUGCAACUUGAGGUGCCAAACUGUAUUUUACCUAUUGUGCUACCCUGUACCACACUACUUAGUAAGAACUUGUUUCCUCAAAGGUGUAGCUCAGUUUAGCAUUGAGUUUCUAUUAUUGCUCUCAUUGUAGCUGCGAUCAAUAGCUCUAUAGGUAAACACAACUUGUUUACAGACCUCUAAUUUAUAUCAAAGUGGCUAUCAUUUUAAAUAUCAUCAAUUAACCUAAGAAUUUUAAAACUGUACUGUGAUUUUCAGAACCUGUUACCUUUUGGUGCCGGAUCUGCGUUAUUCAAAUCCUUGCUACAUGUUUUAAAGUAGAAAAUAAAAUAAAAAAAUAAUAAAAGAUGGUAUUUUUGCUUACACAGAAGACAACCUGUAACAUAAAAUGAAUCAAACAUUAAAAUUUUACACUUGAUGUAAAAGGGUUUAUUAAAAAAAAAAAAAAAGGUUAUUUGUUCAAUUUCAAUAAAGCUAAAUGUGCUAUUAACAUUUCCUUCACUCUUUUUUUUCCUAUACAGCUGGGCUGUUCACGUCAAGACCCAGGUCUACCCCUAUGCCACUGCUCAGUCAAAAGAAAGAGGGUGAAAAGCAAACUUCUUUUGAUCUGGGGGCUCUCACUGGGUUGUACUGGUGUCUUCAUCUCAGCAAGAGGAUCCUGCAUCACCUUGAAGUCACAUUUCAUGAAUGAAAUCAAGAGAUCUGACACAGUAUGAUGUUGACAUUUCUAUGUUUAGAAAUAUAUUUCUAAAUAGAGAAAUAAAUAAUUUUAACAUGUGGACA
rnacentral:lncRNA from 1 species